rnacentral:RNase_P_RNA from 2 species
UGAGUAAGCCAGAUGAUCGCGUGUAAAGUGCCGAAAGGCCUUAUACGAGGAAAGUCCGGGCUCCAUAGGGCAGGGUGCCGGGUAACUCCCGGUGAAGGUGACUUCAAGGAAAGUGCAACAGAGAUAUACCGCCUCAUUUAUGAGGUAAGGGUGGAAAGGUGAGGUAAGAGCUCACCAGCGGCAUGGCGACUUGUCGGUCUAUGUAAACCCCAUCUGGAGCAACACCGCAGAGGGACGUUAAGGUUGCCCGCUAGUCCCGGGUAGGUGGCUUGAGCUAUACAGAAAUGUAUGGCCUAGAUAGAUGAUCAUCAAAUACAGAACCCGGCUUAUAGACUUACUCAUUCA